rnacentral:lncRNA from 1 species
CUAAUGUAUGCAAUGUAAUAUAUUUGCAUUUUGUUUGAUUUUUUAUGAUGAGGGCCUCAGGGAGGAUUAGUUAUAUAGCUAACUGUGUAAUCCUCUUAAAAUAAAGUAUUGUUGUUAAUGAAAAAUUGAAGACAGAACAAAAAAAAAAGAAAACAAUUUUAUUAGCCCUAACUAAGGGCAUCAAUUCUUUGUAAAUUUACAAGAAAACGAAGACAUCAACCAGUAUUUGCAAACAGGAAAUCCAAAAUUUCUCAAGAUGACCAUGACUAUACAAAGGCCGUAAGCUAAAUGAUGAUGGCAGUUCUAAAUUUACAGAUCCAUUCUAAAACCAUUUCAGUGAACAGUUUGAAUGCUAGAACAUACUGUUAAAGACUUUUAGACUCUGUUAAAACAAAAUGACUCUCAAGUAAAUUUAAUAAGCGGAGGGGGUACAUACUGGAAGGUAGAACUCGAUCAAUAAAUUAUUUGAAUUAUUUAUAUCAUAUUAUUUUUUGUUCAGAAAAAUGUCAGAAGUUAAUGUAUCCUUCAAAGAAAACUUUGAAUUUUUCGAAAAAUAAAGGAAGUUCGAC